AGAGUUUGAUCCUGGCUCAGGAUGAACGCUAGCGACAGGCCUAACACAUGCAAGUCGAGGGGCAGCACUGAGAAAGCUUGCUUUUUCUGGUGGCGACCGGCGCACGGGUGCGUAACAGGUGUGCAAUCUGUCCAUAAUCGGGGAAUAGCCCACUGAAAGGUGGAUUAAUGCUCCAUGUGAGUUUAGAAGGCAUCUUCUUUACUUGAAACGUAAGGAUUAUGGGUGAGCACGCUUCUGAUUAGCUAGUUGGCGGGGUAACGGCCCACCAAGGCGACGAUCAGUAGGGGUUCUGAGAGGAAGGUCCCCCACAUUGGAACUGAGACACGGUCCAAACUCCUACGGGAGGCAGCAGUGAGGAAUAUUGGUCAAUGGGCGCAAGCCUGAACCAGCCAAGUCGCGUGAAGGAUGAAGGUUCUAUGGAUUGUAAACUUCUUUUGCAUGAGGGUAAAGGACGGUACGUGUACCGUUUUGCAAGUAUCAUGCGAAUAAGCAUCGGCUAACUCCGUGCCAGCAGCCGCGGUAAUACGGAGGAUGCGAGCGUUAUCCGGAUUUACUGGGCGUAAAGGGCGCGUAGGCGGUAAGAUGUGUCAGAUGUGAAAUCUCCGGGCUCAACCCGGAAAGUGCGUUUGAAACUGUUUUACUGGAGUACGGAAGGGGGAUGCGGAAUGCAAGGUGUAGCGGUGAAAUGCGUUGAUAUCUUGCAGAACACCGGUGGCGAAGGCGGCAUCCUGGGACGUUACUGACGCUGAGGCGCGAAAGCAGGGGGAGCAAACAGGAUUAGAUACCCUGGUAGUCCCUGCCCUAAACGGUGUGCACUUGACGUGGGGUUUUCACCGACUCCGUGUCGUCGCUAACGCUUUAAGUGCACCGCCUGGGGAGUACGGCCGCAAGGCUAAAACUCAAAGAAAUUGACGGGGGCCCGCACAAGCGGAGGAGCAUGUGGCUUAAUUCGAUGCAACGCGAAGAACCUUACCUAGAUUUGACAUCUAUCUGCACGUCCUAUGAAAGUAGGAUUCCUUCGAGGGUGAUAGACAGGUGCUGCAUGGCUGUCGUCAGUUCGUGCCGUGAGGUGUUUGGUUAAGUCCAGCAACGAACGCAACCCCUAUGACUUGUUGCUAACAGGUAAUGCUGAGAACUCGAGUCAGACUGCCCGUUUACGCGGGAGGAAGGUGGGGACGACGUCAAGUCAGUAUGGCCCUUACAUCUAGGGCUGCACACGUGCUACAAUGGCCGGUACAAUGGGCUGCAAUACCGCAAGGUGGAGCUAAUCCUCAAAACCGGCCCCAGUUCAGAUUGAGGUCUGCAACCCGACCUCAUGAAGCCGGAUUCGCUAGUAACGGCGCAUCAGCUACGGCGCCGUGAAUACGUUCCCGGGCCUUGCACUCACCGCCCGUCAAG
rnacentral:rRNA from 1 species